UAUAAAGGAGAACAUACUCUCUUCUCAUACUGCCACCUCAGCACUGCCUUUUCCUUUUGCCUCCACGUGUCUUCUUCUUUUUAUAAACUACACCUCUUUUUUUCAAGCAGAUAACGUUCUGGGCUUACUCUGUUAUCUUCAUCACACCUGUGAAAUUGUUCCAUCUGAAAGCCCAAACAAUUGAAUCACCUCUUUUCUCCUAUUCUGAAUUGUUUCGAUUUCCUCGACGAACACCCUUCCUGCCGGGAAGUAAUAACCACCCUGGCGAUGACAUGCCUGGAGCUGUUGCAGUCAACUAAGCCAUCUGAUAUGAUUCUAUGUGAUGCAUCUGAGAAAAAAUCUACGAGUGAUAGUGGUGGGAUUGUUGAAGUUAGUGAUGCUGCUCCAGCUCAACCAACUGAUACUACUGUUUUGGUCGACUCCUCAACUCAGAAGGAUCCACCCACGGAGGAUGUGCGUGAAGGGAAGAAGAAGCCACGCAUUGCAUAGCUUCAGAGCUAAGGAGGACCUGAGCUUAAAGUCGAUUACAUCACGUUUAUCGUUUUUCUUUCUUUUCUCUGUUUCGGUCUUUUAAUUCUCAGAGAUUUUUCUCACAUGAAACUUUCUUUGAUGUUUUAAUUUAUCUUUGGUUUUAGUUUUCCUUCCGACUUGGAAACAAGUUCCUCUAUUGUUUAUAAAUGAAAUUACUUCAAGUA